rnacentral:tRNA from 1 species
GAGUGGCUCAGUGGUGGAGCGUCUCCUUGCCAAGGAGAAGGUCGCGGGUUCGAUCCCCGUCUC